rnacentral:lncRNA from 10 species
CACAUACACGCACGUUCAAAUUAUAUGAAAUGCUGUGGAGGAAAAUAGCAGCAUAUUUUCAAAGACAAGAGAGAACCCCUUCCUUAGGUGGCACGGUCAGGGAGGCCACAAAAACGGUGGCAUUUCAAGUCAAGGCUUAAGGGAUAGAGAGGAACCAGGAGCACAGGGGAGAGGUUUACCAGCAGAAGGGGCAGCUCGUACAGUCCCAGUGGGAGGAAGGACAGCUGCACUUGCGAGGUGAAGUGGGAGUGUGAAGAACAAGACGGGAGAACAAGUAUGGAAUGCAAGAGGCAAGUCAGGCAAGGGCCUGAGUGGGUCAGGGAGAGCCUGGGAAGAUCCUGGGUUUGGAUUCCUUUCAAGGUGCAACGGGAAGCUUUGGCGUGUGUUGGGCAGGAGAGUGAAAUGUCCUAGGUAGAGUUAAGGUUUUCUCUAGCUGCCCCAUGGAUUUGCCAGGGCAGGGUCUGUUUCCCUCAGCUGGCUCAUCUGAGAAAUAAAUGUGUGAUACUCUCAAAUCCUUCUUUGGAUUUAGAGAGAGGUAUAAGUAAAUGCCAAGUCCCAUGUUACGGUGUGGUAAUACUUGUUUGGUCCACUCAUAAUGGCAUUUAUUUUUUAAAUCAGAUCUACUGGGACUAUAAUGCUUCAAACCACGGGAGUAAGCCUUGCAUGUGACCACUUCAGCUUCCACAGCAGGAAAAGGGAGGGAGAUAUUUUUAGAAGGGAGACCUCUCAGUGCCCCCUAAACCAGGCCGGAGGCACUGCCUGGCCCCAGAGGACCGUUGGCCUUGCCUAUCAGCUUUCAUCGUGGAGGAGGCGUGGGUGGACCGAGGUACCACAAGUUGCCAGGAAUGCCUGACCAGAAACUGCUCUUGGGUGGGUCCCAGAGCUGCCUCCCCUUCACUUGACCCUAGGGCUGCUGGCUUCCUGGCCUUGUGAAAUCUUCUAGAGGCAGGAAGAAGCCUGAGCGCUCCCUGACGCCACUUGAGUUUGACUUCAUGGGUUUGCCGUGUGCCCCUGAACAAACCAGUUAUCCUCUCUAUGCCUUAUUUCGGUAUGCCCAUCUAACACUAAUUACCACCCCUCCCUGACUGCCCCCAAACCUUACCAGAAGAAAUGGCAUGAAGUUACGGAGACACUUUGAACUCAUUGGCAAAUUGUGCACUGUGAGGGGAAAGCACUGUGGCGGCCAUUUUCUUUUCUUCCUUGAGAAAGUCCCUUGCUAAUCAUUAAGACUGGCUGAGUAAGCUUGUUCCUUUACAUUUGGUGAGUAAGAAAGCCCCUCAUGCUACCUCAUCAUAUGUUCUUCCUCUUUUUCAUGGCUUAUCAACACUCCCUUCUGUAGGACAUGCUGAGGAAUUAGUAUGAGUCAAAAGGAAGAAUGACAAAUAGGUGGUAUUUCUGGUCUGGAGUUUGGAGGGCAAGUUCAGUCCAAAAGUUAGCUGCUUCAACCAUCAUGAAAGGUACAGAAACUCUAGGAUGAAUACACUUAGUAUUUUUUAUUAUUUAUUUAUUUAUUUUUUAGACGGAGUCUCACUCUGUCUGUCCCCCAGGCUGGAGUGCAGUAGUGCAAUCUCGGCUCACUGCAACCCCCACCUCCCGGGUUGAAGCAAUUCUCCUGCUUCAGCCUCUCAAGUAGCUGAGAUUACAGUACACUUUGUACUUUAAUAUGCAAACUGCCUGCCUGCUCCAGAGAAGCAGCCUUUGUUCCUCAGUUCAUCGCAACACUCAGCCUGUCAGUCAGGUUGUGGGAUCCCUCCUAUCCAGGAACUGUAUGCUGUUGUCCCGGUUCUGACACUUUCCCUCUGAGUCCUUGGACACCUUACCUAACCUCUUGGAAGCUCCUGUCUGUGAAGGGUGUGCACAGAGAGCUUCGGUAGCCUGCGAAGCAGCCAUUUUCACUUCCACGGAGCAGAUGCUGGCCUGGGUGCUGGAAUAUGGAAAUGAGGAAGAUCCUGCCUGAGGAUUUCAUGACAGUGCUGCGAUUACCGACGUGAGCCACUGUGCCCAGCCUCACUUUAAAAAAAAAAAAAGGUUAUGAAGCAUCUCAACACAAGACCUCCUUUGCUCAUCACAACCACCCAGUGAAGCAGGCAAGACAACAGAAACUCCCCACCUGUGAUAGAUGUGAGGCCUGAAGUCUCCCACAUACCCACGGCAGAUGCAACGCACAGCGGUGACCAAUGGUGAAGGAUCUAAAACCUGAAAAGAGGCCAAAUGAUUCCUCAAAACCACGCAAGUACGAAGUAGCAGAGCGGAUCUCAAAUCCAGAAUACUACUAAAGUCAUGCCGUGUGACUUCUGAAGCUAGCUCCUAAGAAGUCCUUGCAGCUUCUGCCUGCGACUCUUAGAACACUUGCUUUGAAGGAUGCCAGAUGCUGUCUUAAAAGUCUGAGCACUCUGAAACCAUCAUGCUGUGAGGAAGCCCAAGCUAACCACAUGGGCAAAAAAGAUGCCCUCUGACUGCCACCAUUUGAGACACUCUAAUUAAGAACUGCCUCAUUGAGCCCAUGAGGCCCUGUGAAUGAUAAUAAUAAAUUGUUUUUAACCACUAUGUUUUUGGAUUUGUUAUAAGUUUAUAGAUAACAAGAAAAAGUUAUAUUAGCAUGGUAAUAAAAUUAUGGAUAUGUGUAAGUUUGGUGUUUUGUUUCUUUUUUUUUUUUACACUAAGCCUAUAUUACUGUUGUAAUUUAGGAAAUCACUUGUUUUCCUCCAGCACUUCAAUGUAAGAGUGGCACUACUUAGAAUGUACUUCUUAAGAUAUGGCU